rnacentral:rRNA from 1 species
CUACGGGGGGCAGCAGGCGAGAAAACUUUGCAACGUGCGAAAGCACGACAAGGUUAAUCCGAGUGGUUUCUGCUAAAGGAACCUUUUGACAGUCCUAGAAACACUGUUGAAUAAGGGGUGGGCAAGUUCUGGUGUCAGCCGCCGCGGUAAAACCAGCACCUCAAGUGGUCAGGAUGAUUAUUGGGCCUAAAGCAUCCGUAGCCGGCUCUGUAAGUUUUCGGUUAAAUCUGUACGCUCAACGUACAGGCUGCCGGGAAUACUGCAGAGCUAGGGAGUGGGAGAGGUAGACGGUACUCGGUAGGAAGGGGUAAAAUCCUUUGAUCUAUUGAUGACCACCUGUGGCGAAGGCGGUCUACCAGAACACGUCCGACGGUGAGGGAUGAAAGCUGGGGGAGCAAACCGGAUUAGAUACCCUAGUAGUC